UACGUAGGGUGCGAGCGUUGUCCGGAAUUAUUGGGCGUAAAGGGCUCGUAGGCGGUUUGUCGCGUCGGGAGUGAAAACCCAGGGCUUAACCCUGGGCUGGCUUCCGAUACGGGCAGACUAGAGGUAUGCAGGGGAGAACGGAAUUCCUGGUGUAGCGGUGAAAUGCGCAGAUAUCAGGAGGAACACCGGUGGCGAAGGCGGUUCUCUGGGCAUUACCUGACGCUGAGGAGCGAAAGCAUGGGGAGCGAACAGG
rnacentral:rRNA from 1 species